UACGUAGGGUGCGAGCGUUAAUCGGAAUUACUGGGCGUAAAGCGUGCGCAGGCGGUUCGCUGUGUCCGAUGUGAAAGCCCCGGGCUUAACCUGGGAAUGGCAUUGGAAACUGGCGGGCUUGAGUGCGGCAGAGGGGGGUGGAAUUCCAGGUGUAGCGGUGAAAUGCGUAGAUAUCUGGAGGAACAUCAGUGGCGAAGGCGACACCCUGGACUCAUACUGACACUGAGGUGCGAAAGCGUGGGAGCAACAGGG
rnacentral:rRNA from 1 species